rnacentral:misc_RNA from 1 species
GAUGAAGAACGCAGCGAAAUGCGAUAAUUAAUGCGAAUUGCAGAAUUUAGUGAAUCAUCGAAUCUUUGAACGCACAUUGCGCCCCUUGGUAUUCCGAGGGGCAUGCCUGUUCGAGCGUCAUUAUAACCCCUCAAGCUCAGCUUGGUGUUGGGGCCUGCUGCACUGGCAGCCCUUAAAAUCAGUGGCGGCGCCAUCUGGCUCUAAGCGUAGUAAUUCUUCUCGCUAUGGAGUCCUGGUGGAUGCUUGCCAUCAACCCCCAAUUUUUCUAUGGUUGACCUCGGAUCAGGUAGGGAUACCCGCUGAACUUAAGCAUAUCAAUAAGCGGAGGA